GAAAGCCGGAUGCGGGAAAGCCGCACGUCCGGUUUGAUGAGCGGGGAGGGGAAACGGGGCGAUUGGCCAAGCCUCAAGCUACCGCGCUUCUCCUCGACUCUAC
rnacentral:ncRNA from 1 species